UGCUUCAGUGGCCUACUGGUUAGAGUGUGCACCUGAUAAGUGGGAGGUCACAGGUUCAAAUCCUGGCUGAGUAA